rnacentral:rRNA from 1 species
UACAGAGGGGGCAAGCGUUGUUCGGAAUUACUGGCGUAAAGGGCGCGUAGGCGGCCCGCUAAGUCGAACGUGAAAUCCCCGAGCUCAACUCGGGAACUGCGUCCGAUACUGGCGGGCUUGAAUCCGGGAGAGGGAUGCGGAAUUCCAGGUGUAGCGGUGAAAUGCGUAGAUAUCUGGAGGAACACCAAUGGCGAAGGCAGCUCGCUGGGACGGUACUGACGCUGAGACGCGAAAGCGUGGGGAGCAAACAGGG